rnacentral:tRNA from 1 species
GCCUGCAUAGCUCAGCUGGUAGAGCAUGGGGCUCUUCAUCGCAGGGUCGUGGGUUUGAGUCCCCCCUGGAGCA